AUUACAAUUGGCCAAAACUAAGAUAAAUGACAUGUUAUUUCCUAAACAAAUGUGACCUAUUUAAAAAAAAAAUCAAACAGACACAUACAGAAAGACUUUCUAAGCUAAGAGUACAAGUAGUAUAUAAAUUAUAGGUAGAACCAGGAAAGAAAAUAAUACUAAAGGAAGAGCCUCUCCUUCAAUACUAACCCAGGAGUCUCCAUUCAUAAAUAAUAAUCUAAGGUAAAGAGUAUGCCUUAGAGCUGACAACCCAGAGAUAUUAAAAGAUAACUAAAUAUAACAAGGUAACUUAUUUUGUAACAGUACCAAGAAUAAGAACCCAAAAUCACAAAAUAGUAUCUGUUUUAUCCUAACAAAGGCAAAAAAAAAACAAAAACAAAA